rnacentral:rRNA from 1 species
UACGAAGGGGGCUAGCGUUGUUCGGAAUUACUGGGCGUAAAGCGCACGUAGGCGGAUAUUUAAGUCAGGGGUGAAAUCCCAGAGCUCAACUCUGGAACUGCCUUUGAUACUGGGUAUCUUGAGUAUGGAAGAGGUAAGUGGAAUUGCGAGUGUAGAGGUGAAAUUCGUAGAUAUUCGCAGGAACACCAGUGGCGAAGGCGGCUGAUCUGGGUACGUAU